CGAUUUGGUUGGGAUGGUAAGUGACCUACUUAACUCAGUGGUUAGAGUAUUGCUUUCAUACGGCGGGAGUCAUUGGUUCAAAUCCAAUAGUAGGUAA
rnacentral:tRNA from 1 species